rnacentral:rRNA from 1 species
GAUGAACGCUGACAGAAUGCUUAACACAUCAGCAAUUGACUGGUGGCGGACGGGUGAGUAACGCGUAAAGAACUUGCCUCGCAGCUAGGGACAACAUUUAGAAAUGAAUGCUAAUACCUGAUACUGUGAGAGAGCUUUGCGUCCCAUUAGCUAGUUGGAGAGGUAACAGCUCACCAAGGGGAUGAUGGGUAGCCGGCCUGAGAGGGUGAACGGCCCCAAGGGGACUGAGACACGGCCCUUACUCCUUCUGGAGGCAGCAGUGGGGAAUAGUGGACAAUAGACCGAAGUCUGAUCCAGCAAUUCGGUGUGCACGAUGAAGUUUUCGGAAUGUAAAGUGCUUUCAGUUGGGAAGCGGUACCAACAGAAGAAGUGACGGCUAAAUACGUGCCAGCAGCCGCGGUAAUAC